UACGGAGGGUGCGAGCGUUGUCCGGAUUUAUUGGGUUUAAAGGGUGCGUAGGUGGCUUGAUAAGUCAGUGGUGAAAUACAGCCGCUCAACGGUUGAGGUGCCAUUGAUACUGUCAAGCUUGAAAGAAUUGGAGGCUGCCGGAAUGGAUGGUGUAGCGGUGAAAUGCAUAGAUAUCAUCCAGAACACCGAUUGCGAAGGCAGGUGGCUACGAUUUAUUUGACACUGAGGCACGAAAGCAUGGGGAGCAAACAGG
rnacentral:rRNA from 1 species